GCCUAACACAUGCAAGUCGAGCGGCAGCGUGAAUUGUAGCAAUACAAUUUGACGGCGAGCGGCGGACGGGUGAGGAACACGUAGGAACCUACCCUCAAGAGGGGGAUAACCAAGGGAAACUUUGGCUAAUACCGCAUAAUCUCGUGAGAGCAAAGCUGCCCGUAAGGGUGGCGUUUGAGGAAGGGCCUGCGUCCGAUUAGCUAGUUGGAGAGGUAAUGGCUCACCAAGGCAAUGAUCGGUAACUGGUCUGAGAGGACGACCAGUCACACUGGGACUGGGACACGGCCCAGACUCCUACGGGAGGCAGCAGUGGGGAAUAUUGGACAAUGGGGGAAACCCUGAUCCAGCGAUGCCGCGUGGGUGAAGAAGGCCUUCGGGUUGUAAAGCCCUUUAGGUUUGGAAGAAAGCUUAGCGAAGAUAACGCGUUAAGUGUGACGGUACCAACAGAAUAAGCACCGGCAAACUCUGUGCCAGCAGCCGCCGCAG
rnacentral:rRNA from 1 species